rnacentral:rRNA from 1 species
GAUGAACGCUGGCGGCGUGCUUAACACAUGCGAGUCGAACGAUGAAGCCCAGCUUGCUGGGUGGAUUAGUGGCGAACGGGUGAGUAACACGUGAGUAACCUGCCCUUAACUCUGGGAUAAGCCUGGGAAACUGGGUCUAAUACCGGAUAGGAGCGUCCACCGCAUGGUGGGUGUUGGAAAGAUUUAUCGGUUUUGGAUGGACUCGCGGCCUAUCAGCUUGUUGGUGAGGUAAUGGCUCACCAAGGCGACGACGGGUAGCCGGCCUGAGAGGGUGACCGGCCACACUGGGACUGAGACACGGCCCAGACUCCUACGGGAGGCAGCAGUGGGGAAUAUUGCACAAUGGGCUCAAGCCUGAUGCAGCGACGCCGCGUGAGGGAUGACGGCCUUCGGGUUGUAAACCUCUUUCAGUAGGGAAGAAGCGAAAGUGACGGUACCUGCAGAAGAAGCACCGGCUAACUACGUG